rnacentral:rRNA from 1 species
AUUGAACGCUGGCGGCAUGCCUUACACAUGCAAGUCGAACGGUAACAGGUCUUCGGAUGCUGACGAGCGGCGAACGGGUGAGUAAUACAUCGGAACGUGCCCGAGAGUGGGGGAUAACGAAGCGAAAGCUUUGCUAAUACCGCAUACGAUCUCAGGAUGAAAGCAGGGGACCGCAAGGCCUUGCGCUCACGGAGCGGCCGAUGGCAGAUUAGGUAGUUGGUGGGAUAAAAGCUUACCAAGCCGACGAUCUGUAGCUGGUCUGAGAGGACGACCAGCCACACUGGGACUGAGACACGGCCCAGACUCCUACGGGAGGCAGCAGUGGGGAAUUUUGGACAAUGGGCGCAAGCCUGAUCCAGCCAUGCCGCGUGCAGGAUGGAGGCCUUCGGGUUGUAAACUGCUUUUGUACGGAACGAAAAGACUCCUUCUAAUAAAGGGGGUCCAUGACGGUACCGUAAGAAUAAGCACCGGCUAACUACGUGCCAGCAGCCGCGGUAAUAC